UACGUAGGGUGCAAGCGUUGUCCGGAAUUAUUGGGCGUAAAGAGCUCGUAGGCGGUUCGUCGCGUCGGCUGUGAAAACCCGGAGCUCAACUCCGGGCCUGCAGUCGAUACGGGCGGACUUGAGUGUUGCAGGGGAGACUGGAAUUCCUGGUGUAGCGGUGAAAUGCGCAGAUAUCAGGAGGAACACCGGUGGCGAAGGCGGGUCUCUGGGCAGUAACUGACGCUGAGGAGCGAAAGCUAGGGGAGCAAACAGG
rnacentral:rRNA from 1 species